AGUGAGCGCUGGCGGUAGGCCUAACACAUGCAAGUCGAACGGCAGCACAGUAAGAGCUUGCUCUUACGGGUGGCGAGUGGCGGACGGGUGAGGAAUACAUCGGAAUCUACUUUUUCGUGGGGGAUAACGUAGGGAAACUUACGCUAAUACCGCAUACGACCUACGGGUGAAAGCAGGGGAUCUUCGGACCUUGCGCGAUUGAAUGAGCCGAUGUCGGAUUAGCUAGUUAGCGGGGUAAAGGCCCACCAAGGCGACGAUCCGUAGCUGGUCUGAGAGGAUGAUCAGCCACACUGGAACUGAGACACGGUCCAGACUCCUACGGGAGGCAGCAGUGGGGAAUAUUGGACAAUGGGCGCAAGCCUGAUCCAGCCAUACCGCGUGGGUGAAGAAGGCCUUCGGGUUGUAAAGCCCUUUUGUUGGGAAAGAAAAGCAGCAGGUUAAUACCCCGCUGUUCUGACGGUACCCAAAGAAUAAGCACCGGCUAACUUCGUG
rnacentral:rRNA from 1 species